UUGUGAUUGAAUAAUUCAGGCAUGUGUACGUUCAGUUUAGGGAGGGAGAACAUGCUGCAGCUGCGCUUCAGAAUCUCACUGGGAGGUUACGUGCAGUUAUUGAAGUUGACUUGGUGGUUUUGAUUCCGGCAACGAAUUUCAAGUCUUGCUUUGAACAAAACCAAUUUUGGUUAACUCUUUUCUAUGGCUCAGAUUCUUGAAGCAUCAAAUGAUGAAGAGAUGUUUAGCUGAAAAGCGAAAAACAAACACUAAUGAAUUGUUUUGGUGUUAGCAUGUUUUAACAAUCAUAGAGUUGAUCGAUUUGCCUUUACACCGUAUAUUUGAUUGCUGGCUCAAUGGUACUCAGAAUUGAUUUUAGCAAAAAGUGUGAAAAAAAAAUAUUUGAUAUGCUCUGUAUGUUUAGGCAAAUUAUAUAUUUGGCUGUUUCGGAGUAUUUAUGGUUUUGGGGUUAUCAGUACAUGGUUUUGGGGUUACCAGUGAGUGCAUUGGUGCUUUGGAAAGGGAGCAUGGAAUCCAGGAAAAGCUGUUUGGUUAUGGUGGUUAAUAGAGAGCAGGGAUAGCUAUGGACUUUUGUGGUGGAGUUGUGUAGUGCUUCUGUAUUUGGUUUAUCAAG